rnacentral:rRNA from 1 species
UACGUAGGCAGCGAGCGUUGUUCGGAAUUACUGGGCGUAAAGAGUGUGUAGGCGGUGCUCUAAGUUCGGUGUGAAAUCUCUCGGCUUAACUGGGAGGGUGCGCCGGAAACUGGAGUGCUCGAACGUGGGAGAGGAAAGCGGAAUUCCUGGUGUAGCGGUGAAAUGCGUAGAUAUCUGGAGGAACACCUGCGGUGUAGACGGCUUUCUGGACCAUUGUUGACGCUGAGACACGAAAGCGUGGGUAGCAAACAGG